rnacentral:rRNA from 1 species
GACGUAGGAUGCAAGCGUUGUCCGGAAUUAUUGGGCGUAAAGAGUUCGUAGGCGGUUGCUUAAGUCUGAUGUUAAAUACUGGAGCUCAACUCCGGCAUGGCAUUGGAAACUGGGCGGCUAGAGUGUGGUAGAGGUCUCGGGAAUUCCAGGUGUAGCGGUGAAAUGCGUAGAUAUCUGGAGGAACACCGGUGGCGAAAGCGCGAGACUGGGCCAUAACUGACGCUGAGGAGCGAAAGUGUGGGGAGCGAACAGG